rnacentral:piRNA from 2 species
UCCAAGAAAGGCUGCUGGAGAA